rnacentral:rRNA from 1 species
CCUACGGGAGGCAGCAGUGGGGGAUAUUGCACAAUGGGGGAAACCCUGAUGCAGCGACGCCGCGGGGGCGAAGAAGUAUUUCGGUAUGGAAAGCCCUAUCAGCAGGGAAGAAGAAAGGACGUUACCGGAGUAAGAAGCACCGGCUAAAUACGUGCCAGCAGCCGCGGUAAUACGUAGGGUGCAAGCGUUAUCCGGAUUUACUGGGGGUAAAGGGAGCGCAGGCGGCGCGGCAAGCCUGAUGUGAAAGCCCGGGGCCCAACCGCGGGACUGCAUUGGGAACUACCGGGCUGGAGUGCAGGAGAGGUAGGCGGAAUUCCUGGUGUAGCGGUGAAAUGCGUAGAUAUUAGGAGGAACACCAGUGGCGAAGGCGGCCUACUGGACGGUGACUGACGCUGAGGCUCGAAAGCGUGGGGAGCAAACAGGAUUAGAUACCCGGGUAGUC